UACAGAGGUCUCAAGCGUUUGUUCGGAUUCAUUGGGCGUAAAGGGUGCGUAGGCGGCGCGGUAAGUCGGGUGUGAAAUCUCGGAGCUUAACUCCGAAACUGCAUUCGGAUACUGCCGUGCUUGAGGACUGGAGAGGAGACUGGAAUUUACGGUGUAGCGGUGAAAUGCGUAGAUAUCGUAAGGAAGACCAGUGGCGAAGGCGGGUCUCUGGACAGUUCCUGACGCUGGAGGCACGAAGGUCAGGGGAGCAAACGGG
rnacentral:rRNA from 1 species